rnacentral:rRNA from 1 species
ACGGGGUGCAGCAGGCGCGAAAACUUUGCAAUGUGCGAAAGCACGACAAGGGUUAAUCCGAGUGGCCUCUGCUGAAGAGGUCUUUUGACAGUCCUAGAAACACUGUCGAAUAAGGGGUGGGCAAGUUCUGGUGUCAGCCGCCGCGGUAAAACCAGCACCUCAAGUGGUCAGGAUGAUUAUUGGGCCUAAAGCAUCCGUAGCCGGAUCUAUAAGUUUUCGGUUAAAUCUAUGCGCUCAACGUAUAGGCUGCCGGAAAUACUGUGGAUCUAGGGAGUGGGAGAGGUAGACGGUACUCGGUAGGAAGAGGUAAAAUUCACUAAUCUAUCGAUGACCACCUGUGGCGAAGGCGGUCUACCAGAACACGUCCGACGGUGAGGGAUGAAAGCUGGGGGAGCAAACCGGAUUAGAUACCCGGGUAGUCCCAGCUGUAAACAAUGCAAACUCAAUGAUGCAUCGGGUUGAACCCGGUGCAGUGUUGCAGGGAAGCCGUUAAGUUUGCCGCCUGGGAAGUACGUACGCAAGUAUGAAACUUAAAGGAAUUGGCGGGGGAGCAC